GGGUUAGGCAUGUCUGAGCUCAGACUCUCCUUGGGUGGGGCUUGCCGUGGCUGCUGUGGGGGAUGGGAUGUUGUUUCCAGUCCAGUUGAAUUAUGUUCCUGGGAAAUUAUGGCUACCUCUGCUGUGUCACAUAGGUUGCCAAGGAAGUGGGAGAAAGCCAGCAGCCACAAGCCUCACCCAGCUCCCAUGGAGCCUGCAGCCUGCAGCUUGAAAGGCCAGCCUCAUUCCCACUGUGCCCCCACAACAGCACCGAAGCACCGAGUUUAUUUCCAGGCAGGCAGUGAGCAGGGCUGAGAAAUUGCCCCAGGCUACAAGCCUCCCAGCUGAGAAAGCAAGCAGACUCACAGUUCCUUGGCUGUCCCAUGCAGCCUGCAGCAGCAAUCCACCCCCUUUAAAGUGUCUGUGGAUUCUUUCAGCUUUUUUGGUUCAAGCAAUUCUCCUGUCUCAGCCUCCCGAGUAGCUGGGAUUACAGUCAUGUGCCCCUGUGUCCAGAAUUGGUUCCUUCUGGUGGGUUCUUGGUCUUGCUGUCUUCAAGAAUGAAGCCGUGGACCCUCGUCAUGAAUGUUACAGUUCUUAAAGAUGAAGAGAACAGCAUCAGGGCACAUUGAGGCUCAGAAAUUUAUAUUCCAAGAAGAGGUGCACAGGAACAGAGCAGAUCCAAAGCAGACAACCACCUGGAAGCAGUCAUAACAACAGCAAUAGCAAAUCAAUGCUGAUAAAAGAAAUCAAGUACAGAGAGUUUUAAGGACAUUGUCCAAAGUUGUACAAGACUCCAACACUAAGCAUUCACCUGGAGAUAACCUACAGAGAUACUCUGUGUUACCCACAACUAGUCUGUUGACUAAGUUGGUGAAUAUAUUUGGGAAAAGCCCAUGUGGAAGAAUGGAAGCCUGCAUUAUCUUUCUCAGAGACAGACAGGAAGGUGACUCUAUGGAAGACAUCAGCGAUAAACUAGGAAGGAGUGACACGCAGUGACUGCAUGCCAGGACAGCCUUCCACUCCAGAAGGCCCUUGCCAACACAAAUAAAGAAGGGAAAUGACAUCUUACUUGUUGAAGUAAAGAAACUGCAGUGUAAACAAUAACAACAAUCAUGCAAUCAGAGAAGUGAUUAAGCAGGAAGAAUUCAUUCUAAAUGCCUGACCAUGGUGAACUUACAAAAUAUGACUGUUGCCUCUCGCCAGACAAAAAGAAACUUUGAAAUAACUGUCUUCAACAUUUCUGCUUUAAAAGUCCUUUUAUAACCAUCUGUUUUCU
rnacentral:lncRNA from 10 species